UUUGAUAAUGAGCAGACAGUGGAGGCAUUACACACGUCUUUAGAAGAAUCAGACUUCCUACCUUGAAAAGACAGAUGGAGGUAAGUUCCUUUAUAUAUAAAAAAAAGUUGUAAGUAAAGCAGGCAGCAGUUGCAGUAAAUUGAGUCCUUUCAGUCACUGUAUACACACAGCAGUUCUGCAAUAAGGGGAAAAAUAUAAUGGGAGGAGCGGCUGUGAACGAGUGACCUCCUCAAGCUGAGUCCUCUCUGUGAACCAGGCAUUGAGAGCCACGGCUCCUGAUUUGCAUGGAUUAACUCCACUUGAACAGAUACAGAGCAGAUACAUUUAAAUUGAGCUGGCACAAUGGCAAAAAGAUGGAAGAGUGCGUGAAUGAGGGAAGGCGCAAGAGACGGAGAGAGAAAGAGAAACAGACACGAGAUCAGAGAGCGUGGAUAAGCUGGUUCUUGGAGAACUGUGUCUCAGAAGAGCUACAGCUCCCUCUUCAUGUCACAGUUAUUUUAAGAUGAACAUCGGUAAGGAGGAAAAGAAUCCUUUUGAAAAACUUUGGUGUCUGCAAGGCAUUCCUAAAGAAAGCCAGAAAGCCAAGUGACUUAUACAAAGAAGAUGCUUACCUGAACUCUGAACCCUAAAAAAAAUGGGUCUACAUGCACCUGCUAUCACCCAAGAAGGGUCUUGCAGCCUCUGCUCACUCCCUGAAACACGACUGCUGCUACGGAUACAAUCUCAGGCCAGCCUAUGGAGGAUAAAAGAACAUGAUGAAAGAUCCCAGUCAUCUCAGAAAUCUCAGAUGGGGGCAUCAUAAACUAUUCAGCUCCUGCUGACCCCCUAGUAAAUUACAGAUGCAUGAGCCAGUCCAGCUUAGUGGUCAAUCAAAGCCAAUCAUCAACCUGCAAAAUCAUGAACUAAAUACAUGUGUCUUUUUUGUUUUUUUUUUUGUUUUUUUGGUUUGGUUUUAAGUCACUAACUUUUGGGGGCUUCUACAAAAGCAGAUUAACACAAAUGACAAAAAGAGCUAUGAUAGGAAUAAACUCAGGGCACAGGGGACAGAGACAUGUUAAUCCAAUCUAUUGAUGUCAGGGAAGUCUGCCAGAAGGAAAUGACAUUCAACCUGAGAUGGAUGGAGCCAGAGUGGCAGCUAGCUAAUGACCUUGACCUCAGUGAUGUAAAAGCUUUAUAGGUAGAAGGCAUUCCUACCAUAUACAUCAGAAAUAACUGCAGAUAUUCAAGCCAAAAACCUUGAAGUUGCCCUUGACUUUACUUUUAUAUCUCACAUAAAAUCCCCUGUAAAUUCUGUCAUAUUUACCUGAAAUACAUCUAGGAUCCAGCCAAUUUCACCAUCCCCACUACUACUCUUCAGAUACAGACCCCAUAGUCACCUGAAUUCGCUCCUUAUGUCCUAUGGUCUGUGGGAUAUCACAGACUUCCUGCUUCCCUGGAGUCUAUUUCCACCACAGAAACUAGAAAGAGCCAGCUAAAGCACAAGUUAGAUCUUGCCAUUCUUCUGUUGAAAACCCUCUGUAGUGAGUUGGAUUGUCCCUACCGCCCCAGAAGUUAUAUUCAUAUUCUAAUCCCUAAAAUCUGGGAAUGUGACCUUAUUUGAAAAACAAACAAACGAAAGAUUGCUGAAGAUGUAAUUAAGGAUCUGAAGAUGAGAUCAUCUUGUAUUAUCCAGAUGGGCUCUAAAUCCAGUGACAAGUGUCCUUAUAAGAUACAGAAGGAGAGGAUGCAGUGACACUGAGGAGAAGGCUACCAGAACACAGAGGCACAGACUGGAGUGACAUAGUCCCAAGCCAAGGAAUGUAUGGAGACAUGGGAAGCCAAAUGAGGUAAGGAGGAAUUCUCCUUUACAGCCCUUGGAGGGAGCACAGAUCUACUAACACCUUGAGUUUAGACUUCCGUCCUCUAGAAGAACUAAGGGAAAUACAUUUCUGUGGUUUUAAGUAACUUAGUUUGUAGCAAUCUGUUAUGGCAGCCCCAGGAAACUAAUACAUCUUCCAAAGGUUUCUUAUGUCAUUCAGAGUAAAACAUAACCGCCAAAGUCCUAACGUUGGCUCACAAGGCCAUGCCUGGACUGCCUG
rnacentral:lncRNA from 1 species